CCUACGGGUGGCUGCAGUGGGGAAUAUUGCACAAUGGGCGCAAGCCUGAUGCAGCCAUGCCGCGUGUGUGAAGAAGGCCUUCGGGUUGUAAAGCACUUUCAGCGGGGAGGAAGGCGGUGAGGUUAAUAACCUCAUCGAUUGACGUUACCCGCAGAAGAAGCACCGGCUAACUCCGUGCCAGCAGCCGCGGUAAUACGGAGGGUGCAAGCGUUAAUCGGAAUUACUGGGCGUAAAGCGCACGCAGGCGGUCUGUCAAGUCGGAUGUGAAAUCCCCGGGCUCAACCUGGGAACUGCAUUCGAAACUGGCAGGCUACAGUCUUGUAGAGGGGGGUAGAAUUCCAGGUGUAGCGGUGAAAUGCGUAGAGAUCUGGAGGAAUACCGGUGGCGAAGGCGGCCCCCUGGACAAAGACUGACGCUCAGGUGCGAAAGCGUGGGGAGCAAACAGGAUUAGAUACCCGGGUAGUC
rnacentral:rRNA from 1 species